rnacentral:rRNA from 1 species
GGGAACGUGCCUUUCACUACGGAAUAGUCCCGGGAAACUGGGUUUAAUACCGUAUACGCCCUUCGGGGGAAAGAAUUUCGGUGAAAGAUCGGCCCGCGUUAGAUUAGGUAUUUGGUGGGGUAAUGGCCUACCAAGCCUACGAUCUAUAGCUGGUUUUAGAGGAUGAUCAGCAACACUGGGACUGAGACACGGCCCAGACUCCUACUGGAGGCAGCAGUGGGGAAUCUUGCGCAAUGGACGAAAGUCUGACGCAGCAACGCCGCGUGUGUGAUGAAGGCUCUCGGGUCGUAAAGCACUGUCAGAAGGGAAGAACGCAGACGGUACCUUCAAAGGAAGCGCCGGCUAACUCCGUGCCAGCAGCCGCGGUAAUACGGAGGGGGCUAGCGUUGUUCGGAAUUACUGGGCGUAAAGCGC